GGGUGAGUAACGCGUAGGUAAGCUACCAUAAGGUCUGGGAUAGCCCUACGAAAGUAGGAUUAAUACCGGGUAAGCUUUACUUUCAUAAGAUAGUAAAGGAAAGGCUUCGGCCACCUUUUGAUGUGCCUGCGUUGGAUUAGCUUGUUGGUGUGGUAAUGGCACACCAAGGCGACGAUCUAUAGCCGAGCUGAGAGGCUGAUCGGCCACAUUGGAACUGAGACACGGUCCAGACUCCUACGGGAGGCAGCAGCUAAGAAUCUUCCGCAAUGGACGAAAGUCUGACGGAGCGACGCCGCGUGAAUGAUGAAGGCCCUUCGGGUUGUAAAAUUCUUUUAUAGGGGAAGAAUGUAUGGUGUAGGCCAUUCUGACGGUACCCUAUGAAUAAGGUCCGGCUAACUACGUGCCAGCAGCCGCGGUAAUACGUAGGGACCUAGCGUUGUUCGGAAUUAUUGGGCGUAAAGGGUACGUAGGCGGCUUAGUAAGUCGGAUGUGAAACUCUCGGGCUCAACCUGAGAACUGCGUCCGAUACUGCUUGGCUAGAGUUACGGAGAGGAAGGCGGAAUUCCUGGUGUAGGGGUGAAAUCUAUAGAUAUCAGGAAGAACACCUAUUGCGAAGGCAGCCUUCUGGACGUCAACUGACGCUGAUGUACGAAAGUUAGGGUAGCAAACAGGAUUAGAGACCCUGGUAGUCCUAACCGUAAACGUUGUAUACUAGGUGGUGGGAGUAUUGAUCCUUUCACUGCCGGAGCAAACGCAUUAAGUAUACCGCCUGGGGAGUAUGCCGGCAACGGUGAAACUCAAAGGAAUUGACGGGGGCCCGCACAAGCAGUGGAGCAUGUUGUUUAAUUCGAUGAUACGCGAGAAACCUUACCAGGUCUUGACAUAUACUUGAAUGGUGUAGAAAUACAUCAGCUUUUCGGAGCAGGUAUACAGGUGCUGCAUGGUUGUCGUCAGCUCGUGCCGUGAGGUGUUGGGUUAAGUAUCCGCAACGAUGCGCAACUCCUUAUUCGUUUGUUGAUAACGUGUAAUGGCGAGCACUUUAAGGAGACUUCCGGUGUCAAACCGGAGGAAUGUGGGGAUGAUGUCAAAUCAUCAC
rnacentral:rRNA from 1 species